UACAGAGGUCUCAAGCGUUGUUCGGAUUCAUUGGGCGUAAAGGGUGCGUAGGUGGCGCGGUAAGUCGGGUGUGAAAUCUCGGGGCUUAACUCCGAAACUGCAUUCGAUACUGCCGUGCUUGAGGACUGGAGAGGAGACUGGAAUUUACGGUGUAGCAGUGAAAUGCGUAGAUAUCGUAAGGAAGACCAGUGGCGAAGGCGGGUCUCUGGACAGUUCCUGACACUGAGGCACGAAGGCCAGGGGAGCAAACAGG
rnacentral:rRNA from 1 species